UCCAGUGGCGAUAGCUGAGUGGUUCCACCUGUUCCCAUCCCGAACACAGUCGUUAAGCACUCAUACGUCGAAAGUACUUGGUUGGAGACGACCUGGGAGGAUAGAAAGCUGCUGGUU
rfam:Selenomonas sputigena ATCC 35185, complete genome.